rnacentral:rRNA from 1 species
GUGGGGAAUAUUGGACAAUGGGGGGAACCCUGAUCCAGCCAUGCCGCGUGUGUGAAGAAGGCCUUUUGGUUGUAAAGCACUUUAAGCGAGGAGGAGGCUACCGAGAUUAAUACUCUUGGAUAGUGGACGUUACUCGCAGAAUAAGCACCGGCUAACUCUGUGCCAGCAGCCGCGGUAAUACAGAGGGUGCAAGCGUUAAUCGGAUUUACUGGGCGUAAAGCGCGCGUAGGUGGCCAAUUAAGUCAAAUGUGAAAUCCCCGAGCUUAACUUGGGAAUUGCAGUCGAUACUGGUUGGCUAGAGUAUGGGAGAGGAUGGUAGAAUGCCAGGUGUAGCGGUGAAAUGCGUAGAGAUCUUGAGGAAUACCGAUGGCGAAGGCAGCCAUCUGGCCUAAUACUGACACUGAGGUGCGAAAGCAUGGUGAGCAAACAGGAUUAGAAACCCUGGUAGUCC